AUUGAACGCUGGCGGCAUGCCUUACACAUGCAAGUCGAACGGCAGCGGGGGAGAAGCUUGCUUUUCCUGCCGGCGAGUGGCGAACGGGUGAGUAAUACAUCGGAACGUGCCCUGUAGUGGGGGAUAACUAGUCGAAAGAUUAGCUAAUACCGCAUACGACCUGAGGGUGAAAGUGGGGGACCGCAAGGCCUCAUGCUAUAGGAGCGGCCGAUGUCUGAUUAGCUAGUUGGGGGGGUAAAGGCCUACCAAGGCGACGAUCAGUAGCUGGUCUGGGAGGGCGGACAGCCAAAAUGGGACUGAGACACGGCCCAGACUCCUACGGGAGGCAGCAGUGGGGAAUUUUGGACAAUGGGCGAAAGCCUGAUCCAGCAAUGCCGCGUGUGUGAAGAAGGCCUUCGGGUUGUAAAGCACUUUUGUCCGGAAAGAAAUGGCUCUGGUUAAUACCUGGGGUCGAUGACGGUACCGGAAGAAUAAGGACCGGCUAACUACGUGCCAGCCGCCGCGGUAA
rnacentral:rRNA from 1 species